rnacentral:rRNA from 1 species
CUGAUCUAGCCAUGCCGCGUGAGUGAUGAAGGCCUUAGGGUCGUAAAGCUCUUUCGCCUGUGAUGAUAAUGACAGUAGCAGGUAAAGAAACCCCGGCUAACUCCGUGCCAGCAGCCGCGGUAAUACGGAGGGGGUUAGCGUUGUUCGGAAUUACUGGGCGUAAAGCGCGCGUAGGCGGAUUAGAAAGUUGGGGGUGAAAUCCCGGGGCUCAACCUCGGAACUGCCUCCAAAACUGCUAGUCUAGAGUUCGAGAGAGGUGAGUGGAAUUCCGAGUGUAGAGGUGAAAUUCGUAGAUAUUCGGAGGAACACCAGUGGCGAAGGCGGCUCACUGGCUCGAUACUGACGCUGAGGUGCGAAAGUGUGGGGAGCAAACAGGAUUAGAUACCCUGGUAGUCCACACCGUAAACGAUGAAUGCCAGUCGUCGGGUAGUAUACUAUUCGGUGACACACCUAACGGAUUAAGCAUUCCGCCUGGGGAGUACGGUCGCAAGAUUAAAACUCAAAUGAAUUGACGGGG